UACGUAGGGGGCUAGCGUUGUUCGGAUUUAUUGGGCGUAAAGCGCACGUAGGCGGCUAGUUAAGUGCGGGGUGAAAUCCCGAGGCUCAACCUCGGAACUGCCUUUCAUACUGGCUGUCUUGAGUUCGGAAGAGGUGAGUGGAAUUCCAAGUGUAGAGGUGAAAUUCGUAGAUAUUUGGAAGAACACCGGUGGCGAAGGCGGCUCACUGGUCCGAUACUGACACUGAGGUGCGAAAGCGUGGGGAGCAAACAGG
rnacentral:rRNA from 1 species